ensembl:lncRNA
CUGCAGCCGUCCUGUCUGGCCCUGGCAGGUGGAUAACGAGGUGCUGCAUGCCUCCCCCACAUGCCUUGGGUGCUACCAUGAGUCCAAAUGGGCUGGGUGCUGCUGCAAUGGCUGUGCUCCAGCCCCUCCCAGCUCUGCACUCCUUACUCUGCAAAGCAAGCCCACGGGUUAGGGAUGUUCCACCCACUCGGGUGCCACCCCAGGCUAACAUCUCAGCCAGAUCAUCAGCAGCUGGAAAAAAAAAAAAAAAAAAAAAAAAGAGGGGAAAUGAUGGAAAAGCCAAUAGCCUCCUUAAAUAAGUGUAACAGCACCACUGGGCUUCGCCACAAUGAUCCUGUACUUGCAGGUUGUAUUUUUUCCUCUUUUUUUUUGCAGCGAUAUGUCAGGUUAAGCAGAGUAUAGAUGACACUCAACAGGUUCCAAAAAGACAAAUAAACAAAAAUUCCCUUGUAACCAAUUUUUCUUUUUCCCAUCAGAGAAAGCAAGGAGAAGUCAGUCUGCUGGAAACAAAAUUUCAUCCUGGGCAUGUAGGACUGCAAGUGUUUAAAGAUCCUUUGUAGUUAUAACUGCAGAAGAAAUUGCCCUGCUAUCUUUCCAUUUCUACUUGACACGCAUCCAAAAGAACAUCAAUAUUUCUCUUAAGACAUUGCCAGACUUGACUGCUGUGAAGCUGCUAUUAUUCUCCCCUUUCCUUUAAUUAUUUUCUUCUGUAUAUAGAAAUUUGUUUUCCUCAGCUGAUAAAUAUCAUCAAUUUAAGGAAUGCUACUAUCAUAUAACCACACGAAUAUAUUUAGCAUAUAGAAAGUGUGUUCUCCCUUCGUCAUUAUAAUAGAAAUACAACUUGAUUUAUAAUAAUGUUAUUGUAUCCUACAAGCCAUUCAUUUUUUCCAGUGGAAGGGCUGCAGGUGCUAAGAGAGGAGGUGGCAUUGCCAGAGCGUUCCAUUGCUGUUUCUUGCUGGGGAUUGCCCCCAUGGCUUUCUGAAACUGGUGGGGUAUCCUGAGGCCCUCUGGACCCCAAGUGGGAUGUAAGGGUUUGAAGGUUGCUCCUAUCUGUCAUGCCCAGCAAGCCACCAGCACCGCAUGGAUGCAUGAGCAUCCUUCCUGGGGUCCCCACUAUUACUGGGGUGCAGCCCACCUCCCCACACCACUGCCCCAUUGGAGCAGCUGAGAUCAGCUCAGCCUGCUGCUGGAAAGGGUUCCUCUGCUUACUUUGCAGAGCAGCAGCUGCAAGCACUGAGCUCCCCGGCUGCUGAGUCUCAGCUGAGGGUUGAGAGGUGAGAGCUUCCCAUCCUACAUCCACUCCUGCCUGCACCUAUUUGCAGCCCCUACGCAGAGUUCAGCUGCUCUGUGAGCAGGACUGAGAGGUGGCAUCAUUCAUCUCAGCACACUCCCCGGGCUGGCAGCGCUGCAGCACAACGUAGCUGCUGAAAAUGCCUCUCACUGUCUGGGACAGGGAAAUUUCAGUCCUGGCAGUGAUGCACAUGUGCACACCAAGUUUGAUAUAAUGAAGUGAAAGCCACAUAGGGCUCCACUGACAAACACACCUGUAAUUUACCUUUGCUGCUCAGGGGAUUAUCCACCUGAGGAAAUCUCUGUCCAUCUCUACAGCUGCUGCUCGCAGUGCACUGUGCCUUUGCCAGAGCUCUCCAUCAGCGACUCCAGUGUUUGCAAAUUCCCAUUUGCAGUUUUUCCCUGACUCCUGCGCUCUGUUCUGAAAUGGCCGCUCAGAAACACACGCAGCUUGGUUUUUUCCCCUCUUCCUUUUGUAAGGGAGGCAUUUGUUUAAUGAGACGUUGAUGGAUCUGAGCUGCCAGCUGGAAUUGUCUCGGUGGUUUUGUGGCUUCUCAGCAGCAGCUUUUAUUCCUGAGCUGUGGUUCUCCAGCCCACACUUUGCAUGGCAACCCAUGCUGAAGCCCUCAGGUGAAGUGAUUUCUGCCCUCCUUCUUCCAGUAUCUCUUAGUGCUCUGAGGGUUGCCCUGCUGCUGGCACAGCCCACUGUUCUGGUCCCACACAUAGCAUCCAGAGAUAUACCACAACAUACCACAACAUACAGCAAGGACUUUUGGCUCAAGUAGUAAAUCUUAAAAAAAAACAACAACUUACUGUUAUUUCUUGAAUUAUUGUCUCACCUUGAAUAUAUGGAACUUAAAGUGCUGAUUUUAACUUUAAUUUGUUCAUUACCAGAGGCCUUUUCCCCCGGACUGAGUCCCAAAGUGAUGCUUGUGCAUCAGGUGCAGGUAUGGCAUGAUCCGUGGCAUUGUGCAAAGUACCCUGCAGUUGUUGUAUUCCUGGAUCCAUCUUCCUACAAGACAAAAGAUGUCAGUACAAAAGAAGAUAGCAAAUGGUAUCCUGGGCUCCAUCAGCAGAGGAGUGGCCAGCAGGAGCAGGGAGAUGAUUGUUCCUCUCUACUCUGCUCUUGUGGGGCCCCAUCUGGAGUAUUGCGUCCAGGUCUGGAGCCCCCAUACAAGAAAGACAGGGAGCUGUUGGAGAGGGUCCAGAUGAGGGCCACAGAGAUGAUCAGAGGGCUGAGCACCUCCCCCAUGAAGGCAGGCUGAGGAAGCUGGGCUUGUUCAGCCUGGAGAAGAGAAGGCUGUGGGGUGACCUCAUUGCAGCCUUUCAGUACCUGAAGGGAGCCUAUAAACAGGAGGGGAGUCAACUCUUUCAAAGGGUGGAUAACAGCAGGAUGAGGAGAAAUGGUUUAAAGUUGAAGGAGGGAAGAUUUAGGUUGGAUGUCAGGGAAAGAAUAUUUACUAAGAGAGUGGUGAGGUGCUGGAACAGCUGCCCAGAGAGGCUGUGGAUGCCCCGUCCAUCCCUGGAGGUGUUCAAGGCCAGGUUGGAUGGGGCCCUGGGCAGCCUGGGCUGGUAUGAAAUGUGGAGGUUGGUGGCCCUGCCUGUGGUGGGGGGUUGGAG